rnacentral:lncRNA from 1 species
GCGCCCGGCCGGCGUGGCUGGCUGUUUGAGGACUGCGCGCGGAGCUCCGUGGCGGGUGUCUGAAGUCGUGAGUUUACUGCUUGUAAGGAACAUAGCGAUCACUGGGAACCUGGAAGUAGAGACUCCUUUCUGCCAUCCAUCCGUCCCUCGGGCUGCUGCGAAUCCCCCCGCCGGCCUCCAGGACCCCGGGCUGACUGAACGCCCGCACCGGUCCCGCCGCCCCAGGGCCCGCUACGCGCCCGGCAUAAUGGGAGAAAAAUCACGACGGAAAGGCCCAGCCCCUCGCCAUGCAGACGGGAAGCUUGGCCGCACGUGUGAUCACCCUUACGCCCCUUGGAGUUUCACCCCCUCUUCGCGGGCUCCAACAGCCUGGGUCAGGCCUCCUUGUCCUGUGUGGGCCUCUCGGCUGCAAGAACACAGUCCCGAGCCCCGGCGAGCCCGCGCGCCUCCCACCCGCCGUGCACAGGCUGCACUUUACGCCCCAGCACUGCGCCUGCGGGACCAUCUGGAUCGCUUUUCCAUUCUGAUGACGUCCUGUACUUCGUGGCUGCAGGCUCCUCAAGCCCCAGGUCUGUGCAGAGACGAGCAAAGCAGCAGAAUAUCCGUGCCACAGCUUUCUGGAGCACCCAUUUUACUACCAGAUUUGGAAGGAACGAAGUUAAGUAAUUUCCAAGAAUCAUCUCCCCUGCCCCACAAACAUGAAAGAAAAGACAAGAGAAGCACCCCAGAAGAGGAGGGGAGAAGUGCCCCAGAAAAAAUCAUCCAGUCUCUGAAGCUUUGCCCAGAUUUGAUGUUUUGCCAUUUUAAAGAAUACUAGACAAGAGGAUCUCAAUCUGGAUCACUAUAUUGGGCUCCUAAUAUCCUGAUAUAAUUUUAAAUCAUCCCAAACAACGCAUUAUUACCAUAUACAUCAGCAUUUCCCAAACUGUGCUAUAAGCUAUGUAUACUAUUGAUAUUUUUGAGCUAAAAUAUACUUAUAAAUACAUAAAAAUAUAUUUAUCUAGGUGGUGUUAUGCAAUAAUGCACUUUUCAAAAAGAAAUGAUAUACCAGUCUCAAGAAUACCCGGAAGCUGCAUGAAAAUUCUUGAUUCCUUUUAUAUAUAGUGACAGAAAAAGAUGUAAAUAUAACAAUUGGUUAUUUUUAUUGUAUAAAGUUUUUUCUAUAAGCA